CCCAAAAUAAGUCUACCAUAGGCAUCACGCUUGGUGGGUUGCAAACCUGCUUUGCCUGCUGGACCAUUUGAAGGGGCAUCUAAGACAAGCACCCCACUUACUCCUAACUGCUCCACAGAUUGAUCAGGUGCAAACUUAAUGCCUAAAAUAGGUCUCGUAACUUUUCCAAACUUCACUAACUGUUCAACAAUGCCACCUACAGUAUCAACAGGAAUUGAAAAUCCAACGCCAGAGGAUGCACC
rnacentral:misc_RNA from 1 species